rnacentral:rRNA from 1 species
UACGGAGGGUGCAAGCAUUAAUCGGAUUUAUUGGGCGUAAAGGGCGCGUAGGCGGGUAGACAAGUCAGAUGUGAAAUUCCGAAGCUCAACUUCGGAGCUGCAUAUGAAACUGUCUAUCUAGAGGGAUGGCGGAGAAAAUGGAAUUCCACGUGUAGCGGUGAAAUGCGUAGAUAUGUGGAAGAACACCUGUGGCGAAAGCGGUUUUCUAGCUUAUACCUGACGCUGAGGCGCGAGAGCAAGGGGAGCAAACAGG